rnacentral:rRNA from 1 species
GGGCCCGCACAAGCGGCGGAGCAUGCGGAUUAAUUCGAUGCAACGCGAAGAACCUUACCAAGGCUUGACAUAUAGAGGAAAAGUGCAGAAAUGCACUCCCCGCAAGGUCUCUAUACAGGUGGUGCAUGGUUGUCGUCAGCUCGUGUCGUGAGAUGUUGGGUUAAGUCCCGCAACGAGCGCAACCCUCGUCCUAUGUUGCCAGCAAGUAAUGUUGGGGACUCAUAGGAGACUGCCGGGGUCAACUCGGAGGAAGGUGGGGAUGACGUCAAAUCAUCAUGCCCCUUAUGUCUUGGGCUUCACGCAUGCUACAAUGGCCGGUACAGAGGGCUGCAAUACCGCAAGGUGGAGCGAAUCCCCAAAAGCUGUCUCAGUUCGGAUUGUCGGCUGCAACUCGCCGGCAUG